rnacentral:rRNA from 1 species
CAGUAGCCGCGGUAAAACGAGGGGGGCAAGCGUUGUUCGGAAUUAUUGGGCGUAAAGGGCGCGUAGGCGGUUUGACAAGUUUGGUGUGAAAUCUAUGGGCUCAACCCAUAGCCUGCAUCGAAAACUGUCGGGCUUGAGUAUGGGAGAGGUGAGUGGAAUUUCCGGUGUAGCGGUGAAAUGCGUAGAUAUCGGAAGGAACACCUGUGGCGAAAGCGGCUCACUGGACCAUUACUGACGCUGAGGCGCGAAAGCUAGGGGAGCAAACAGGAUUAGAUACCCCCGUAGUCCCUGUCUCUUAUAC